rnacentral:tRNA from 1 species
GAGGGUGUAGCUCAGUGGUAGAGUGCAUGCAUGCUUAGCAUGCACAAUGUCCUGAGUUCAAUCCCCAGUCCCUCCA